rnacentral:rRNA from 1 species
AUUGAACGCUGGCGGCAGGCCUAACACAUGCAAGUCGAGCGGAUGAAGGGAAGUUGCUCCUGUAUUCAUCGGCAGACGGGUGCGGAAUGCCUAGGAAUCGGCCUGUUAGUGGUGGAUGAGGUCCAGAAAGGGGCACUAGUACCGCAUACGCCCUGGGGGUGAGAGUGGAGGCUCUUGAUACCUGACGCUAUCGGAUAAGCAUAGGUCGGAUUAGCUAGUUGGUGGGGUAAAGGCCUACCAAGGCGACGAUCCGUAACUGGUCUGAGAGGAUGAUCAGUCACACUGGAACUGAGACACGGCCCAGACUCCUACGGGAGGCAGCAGUGGGGAAUAUUGGACAAUGGGCGAAAGCCUGAUCCAGCCAUGCCGCGUGUGUGAAGAAGGUCUUCGGAUUGUAAAGCACUUUAAGUGGGGAGGAAGGGCAGUAAGUUAAUACCCUGCUGUCUUGACGUUACCCAAAGAAUAAGCACCGGCUAACUUCGUG